AAUUCACUCUCUCGAGAACCGUCGCUUGUUUUGUUGUCUUUGUUAUUGUAAAAACCGCGUUAUUAUAUCGCUCUCGUUGUAAACUAUUUUUUAUCCGCCUAACCUAAACAUUAUAUUUUUCUUUUGUUACAACAAAAAUCGUCCGUUUGGUGUCAAUUCGUUUUGUUAGCCUGUUUGAAUCGGCAGCGUAAUACGAAACCAAAUUUGUGUAAUAUUAAUUGAUUCAAUAACUUCAAUAAAGAUCAAGGAUCCCAUCACUUUAGUCGCCCCUUAAAAAAUAUUGUCACAUAUUAUGUUUCAUAAUAGCGGUGGCAGUGCAACCGGUAUUUUUGUUAGAUCCUUUAGUCUUACAAAACCAUAGACUUAGUGUUUGGCCGCCCAUCAUUUGUAGCGCCACUUGCAUACCACCGGUUCACGCGAUCGAGUUUUGUUACGCGUUGAGUGCGUAUGGCGAGUCUGGUUUUGGCGCUUAUGCUAUUAAGAACGAUCCUAUGACGGACAGUGGAGCGCUGCAACUUGAGAGCCCACAGCUAAGUUCCGUGAUCGCCAAUUCAAUAGCAAAAAAAAGGAAAAGAAAUUUUGGAUGCCCAUCCACGGGUUCAUGUUUUGAAGAACGUGUCUGGUCCUUGUAUACGGCUUAACGAAGUAACCAGCUUGCAUAUAAAGAAUUUAAAUAUAUAAUUGUGUAGUAACGGUAGAUUAAUUUAUGUAAUAUUGUGUUUAGUAAUAAUAAAAUUUACAUUUGUUCUGUCAAAGAGUAUUGUCAUUAAAUUUUUAGUUAGUCAAGUCGUGUCCAUAAUAGGCGAAGAUACUGGGUGCCCCGACCAAGAGGUGUUUUCGAGUCGGUGGCAUAUCACUUAGCUAUUAAUAAUACACCGAAAACCCGGUUUCAAUCUAUUAUUGUUAUUACUCAUUUAGUGCGUAGUAAAUUUUUAUAGCUAAUUUACCUGUCAUAACUUGAUCAAUAAAAUUUGGUUCAUGUAACAGCAAAUAAAAAUAAUGACUUCUGUAUUUAAUACAGUAAAAUGACAAUAGAAAUUUGGUCAAAAAUCACUUAACUUUAACAAGCUGUAAUGGACGAAUGGUUAAUCGGAUAAAAACAAUCCAGCACAGGUCGCGGCACAGUGAUCACGUAGCAUAGUUGAAUCAAGUAUAAUGAUAUCAGACAGUGAUUAAAAUCACUAUAAAAAAAAAGCGCUUCGAUGCAAAUCUUUAGAUAGUGUUUAAUUUUAAAAAAUUGGUGUAUUAUUCCAAAAGCUACAUGAUCUGCUAGUUCUUUAUUAAUAUCCUGAUUAAGA